GGGGAUUUAGCUCAGUGAUAGAGCGCUUGCCUAGCAAGCACAAGGCACUGGGUUCGGUCCCCAGCUCCG
rnacentral:tRNA from 1 species